CCCAGACUCCUACGGGAGGCAGCAGUGGGGAAUAUUGCACAAUGGGGGGAACCCUGAUGCAGCGACGCCGCGUGGGUGAAGGAGUACUUCGGUACGUAAAGCCCUAUCAGCAGGAAAGAAAAUGACGGUACCUGACUAAGAAGCCCCGGCUAACUACGUGCCAGCAGCCGCGGUAAUACGUAGGGGGCAAGCGUUAUCCGGAUUUACUGGGUGUAAAGGGAGCGUAGACGGCAGUGCAAGUCCGGAGUGAAAGCCCGGGGCUCAACCCUGGGACUGCUCUGGAAACUGCAAAGCUGGAGUGCGGGAGGGGCAGGCGGAAUUCCUGGUGUAGCGGUGAAAUGCGUAGACAUCAGGAGGAACACCGGCGGCGAAGGCGGCCUGCUGGACCGUAACUGACGUUGAGGCUCGAAAGCGUGAGGAGCAAACAGGAUUAGAUACCCUCGUA
rnacentral:rRNA from 1 species